GUUUUCGAAUGCCCCCCACCAAAGACAGAGAAUGAGUUGCUGCAGAUGUUCUACCGGCAACAGGAGGAGAUCCGAAGGCUCCGGGAGCUGUUGACCCAGCGAGAGGUCCAGGCCAAACAGUUGGAACUGGAGAUCAAAAACUUGCGGAUGGGCUCAGAGCAGCUCUGAGCAGAGACCUCUGCCCUCCUCACCCUCAGGGACACCACUCGGCUCCAUGGGGAGGUUUAGAACCAAACCACAAGUCCCCUCAAGGACAACCACUAUUUCUAUAUUUUUUACCAGAAAACAAAACUCUCCAUCGCUGAAAGAGAUUCCAGUGGGACAUGGUGCCGUUUUUCUGUUUGCCUUCUUGCAACAACAGUUUCUGAAUUGACUUUGUUUUCAGAUGAUGCCUUCUGUUGAAUUCUGUUAUUAAGGGCCCAUGAUGAGCUGUAACUUCUCAAGAGGAAAGAACACAGUAGAAAACUAGAGCUGGAAGGAUCUAGGUUGACCUGUCUGUGAUUUUCAAACUGUGGUCCAGAGAAUAGGGGAAGACUGGGCCAGACGCAGUGGCUCAUGCCUGUAAUCCCAGCACUCUGGGAGGCUGAGGUGGGCGGAUUGCUUGAGGUCGGGAGUUUGAAACCAGUCUCACCAGGCGCAGUGGCUCACGCCUGUAAUUCCAGCAUGUUGGGAGGCCGAGGCUGGUGGAUCACGAGGUCAGCAGUUCGAGACCAGCCUGACCAACAUGGUGAAACCCCAUCUCUACUAAAA
rnacentral:lncRNA from 1 species